rnacentral:tRNA from 2 species
GCAGACGUAUCGAAGCGGUCAUAACGGGGCGCACUCGAAAUGCGUUUGACCUCCGGGUCACGAGGGUUCGAAUCCCUCCGUCUGCG